UGCACUGAAUGGUAUCUGCACCCAGCAGCAUUCUCUGCUGGGAUGUUCAAAGAUCAUUGCUACAGGAGGUCAGUGUUGGCAUUGUUGUUUUUCAUUCUGCCAUGUUGGGUGAUAUGGUU
ensembl:snoRNA